rnacentral:pre_miRNA from 1 species
AGGAGGAACAACCCCAGUGGCAGUGGCAGCUCUGGAUUCAGCUCCCACAGUAACUACAGAGCCCUCCUUCUGCAGGGCCUGGUGGCUCCAGUGCGGG